rnacentral:rRNA from 1 species
UUGGAGGGCAAGUCUGGUGCCAGCAGCCGCGGUAAUUCCAGCUCCAAUAGCGUAUAUUAAAGUUGUUGCAGUUAAAAAGCUCGUAGUUGAAUUUCGGGAUUCUACCGUUGGUCGGGCUAACAAGUCUGUACUGGUGUGUAGAAUUUCUACCUUCUGGGGAACUAUCAUGUUAUUAAUUUAGCGUGGUGGGAAACCAGGACCUUUACCUUGAAAAAAUUAGAGUGUUCAAAGCAGGCUUACGUCUGAAUACAUUAGCAUGGAAUAAUAGAAUAGGACGGUGGUCCUGUUUUGUUGGUUUCUGAAUCACCGUAAUGAUUAAUAGGGAUAGUUGGGGGCAUUAGUAUUCAAUUGUCAGAGGUGAAAUUCUUGGAUUUAUUGAAGACUAACUUCUGCGAAAGCAUUUGCCAAGGAUGUUUUCAUUAAUCAAGAACGAAGGUUAGGGGAUCGAAGACGAUCAGAUACCGUCGUAGUCUUAACCAUAAACUAUGCCGACUAGGGAUCGGACGAUGUUAAAUUUUAUUGACUCGUUCGGCACCUUACGGGAAAC